GAUGAACGCUGGCGGCGUGCCUAAUACAUGCAAGUCGAGCGAACGGACGAGAAGCUUGCUUCUCUGAUGUUAGCGGCGGACGGGUAAGUAACACGUGGAUAACCUACCUAUAAGACUGGGAUAACUUCGGGAAACCGGAGCUAAUACCGGAUAAUAUUUUGAACCGCAUGGUUCAAAAGUGAAAGACGGUCUUGCUGUCACUUAUAGAUGGAUCCGCGCUGCAUUAGCUAGUUGGUAAGGUAACGGCUUACCAAGGCAACGAUGCAUAGCCGACCUGAGAGGGUGAUCGGCCACACUGGAACUGAGACACGGUCCAGACUCCUACGGGAGGCAGCAGUAGGGAAUCUUCCGCAAUGGGCGAAAGCCUGACGGAGCAACGCCGCGUGAGUGAUGAAGGUCUUCGGAUCGUAAAACUCUGUUAUUAGGGAAGAACAUAUGUGUAAGUAACUGUGCACAUCUUGAUGGUACCUAAUCAGAAAGCCACGGCUAACUACGUG
rnacentral:rRNA from 1 species